rnacentral:lncRNA from 10 species
GAGAAGAGCAUGGGUUGUGAACUCUAACAAUUCACAGUCUAGCGCUGCUCCCUUCCAGCUGCGUGGCUUUGGGAAAGCGCUUGGUCUCUAAGCCUGGUGUCCUCAUUUACAAUGUGAGAAAAAUAACACCAUGCCCUGAGGUUAUGAUGAGAAUUGAAUGAGAUAAUGUGCAUGAAGUAACUGAUAAAUAUUAUCAGUCUUACUCUGGUUAUAAUGGUUGCUAUUAUUUCUUCUUUAUAAUUAACUUCCCUGAAAUGGAAUUUCACCAUGAAUUAAAGCACUGUAGGAGGGGAAAGACAGAGAGAGUCAGAUGAGGGGAAGGAAAUUCGUUGGGUCUGCCCAGCCUAUAUUGUGAUUAUUUGAGAACAGCCCCUCCCACCAGAGUUGGUGCUCCAUAAAUGGCAGUUAUUAUUCUUGCUUUUUUUGUGAUUGCUGUUUAUGAGUUUCUGUUUUUGAGCCAUAUCAGUGCCCUUAACAUCUCCUUCUGUGUCCGAGCCAGAUGAUUGGAUCUUUUCCCCAAUCUCUACCCUCCUGUAACAGGAUUCUAGAUCCACAUUCUUUUCCAUGUAAAGUGCAUUUCCUCCCACCGUGGGCAGAGUGUGCUUUCUACAUGACUUGGUUUGGCCAAUGAAAUGUCAUCAGUCAUGACAUUUACUUAUGGUCUGGCUUAUUCUCUUACAUUCCUGAUAAUGUCUAUUGAACAUGUGUGUGCUGGGCAUUGAGCUAAAUGUUCUUACUGGAUCAUCACAACUGUGUAAGGCAGGUACUAUUUUCAUGCCAGUUUUUAGAUUAAAAACUGAGGCCUAGAGAGAUAAUUAACUUGCCCCAAGUCACACUGUAAUGGACCCAGGACUGAACCCAGGCAGUCAGCUUGCCUGACCAUGUCGCUUCACCAUGCUGCCUCACCGCUGGAGGAAGGUGGUAGAAAUUCCUUCUGCCCAAAGACACAAAAGGCAAGUGUGAAGAUUACACAUCUCUGCUCACUCCCCUUGCCACAGAGAGAAGAAACAUGACUAGUGGAGUCAAUGCGGCAGUGAGCAGCAGGGAUCCUGUCAUUUCUGAGCUGAAGCAUUUCAAUGUUUGUUUAGAACCCUCCACCAUUCUCGCCUGCCACAUGGACUGAGGAGGCUUUGUGUUCCAGAUGGCAAAGCCACAGGGUGGUGGUGUCUCUGUCUGUGUGGAUCGCUGAGCCAGGCCAUGAAGUGAAGCUGCCUUAGAAGUUACCCAGGCCUGCAGCAGGAGCUGAAAUUCAACAUAUUGCCCUAAGAAGCAUCCAAAGCAAUUGUGUAUCUGCAGAUGCUUAUUGUGUCUACUGGGAGAUGGGGUGAGAGUGGAGGCUUUUCUUCCUGUUGAAAGAAGAAAGAAGGUUGUUGGCAUCUGGACUCAUGGUAAGAGGGGUGGUUGACGCCAUGGCUUGGGAGGAGGCAGUCUGCCCUGCAGCAUGGUAGGCAGGAGACCAGCCAGGAGUGGUCCCUGGUGAAGGGCCUCUGCCAUUGAGAUCCUGGAAUUUUCAUGUCUGAUGGCCAGUGGCCAGUGAUCUUUUCUGCAUGGAUGUUCUGCCAAUCCAGGCCUUCAAUAAAACUUUGUCAAACUCCACAGCCUCUACUUAGGUCCAGACUCAAACUCCCACUCCCUGGGAGGCAGUGACUGGGUGGCAAGACAGAAUGAGAGAUGCAGUGAGAACAUCUGGCUGAAGUGACAAGCAGCCACGCUGACUGCUGGUGUGCAGUUCUGAUGACAACCAAGGCAACUUCACACAUGACUGCACAAAGUUAAUUUAACAUGUUUGACUCUGCCAUUUCAUCCUAGUACCAUAGAUAAGAUUUUUUGAGUAAUUACUAUGUACCAGGCCCUAUUCUAAGUUCUUUGUGAAUAUUAAUUAGUUUAAUCCUUGAAGCCACCUCACUAUUGUGUCCAUUUUAUAGAUAAGGAAACUAAGGCCCAAGGAGGUUACACUAAUUACCGAAGGUCAAAUUAAUGACAGAGUCUGGCUCCAGAGUCCACACUUUUAACCAGAGUGCAACAGAAUCUGAACGUUACCCUUAUAACCAAACAGUUCACAGUAGUGUUCUGAGUUUUACUCCUAGAAAGAAAACACACACACACAGUCCCCCAUCCCUCUGUCCGACAGAUAAAUCCAAAACCUGCUGCCAGCUUACAAUUAGCUUGAAACUGCUUCUGGACCAAGUGUGGUGGCUCAUGCGUGUAAUCCCAGCACUUUGGGAGGCCAAGGUGGGAGGAUUGUUUGAAUCCAGGAGUUCAAAACUAGCCUGGGCAACACGGUGAAAUCCUGUCUCUACAAAAAUUACAAAAAUUAGCUGGGUGAGGGGGCGGAUAGCAGGUGCUUGUGGUCCCAGCUACUUGAAAGGCUGAGGUGGGAGGAUCACUUGAGCCCAGGAGGUCAAGGCUGCAGUGAGCCGUGAUCAUGACACUGCACUCCAGCCUGGGCAACAGAGUGAGACCUUGUCUCAAAAAAGACAAGAAAGAAAAGGAAAUAAAAAGAAAAGAACUGCUUCAGAUUAUCAAGGUUUCAGGAAUGCUGAUGUCCAGCCUCAGAAACUGCUUCUGCUUGUUUGUCUCUGAUAUGGGUUGGCUCUGUGUCCCCACCCAAAUCUCAUGUUGAAUUGUAAUCCCCACUUGUUGAAGGAGGAACCUGGAGGAAGAUGAUUGGAUCAUGGAAGCGGUUUCUCCCAUGCUGUUCUCAUGAUAGUGAGUGAGCUCUCACAAGAUCUGAUGGUUUAAAAGUGUGUGGCAGUUGCCCGCUUGUUCUCUGUCUCUCCUGCUCCACCAUGGUAAGACGUGCCACCUUCCCCUCCACCUUCUACCAUGAUUGAAAGUUUCCUGAGGCCUCCUAACCAUUCUUCCUGCACAGCCUGUGGAACUGUGAGUCAAUUAAACCUCUUUUCUUCAUAAAU